rnacentral:misc_RNA from 1 species
GAUAAGGGUAAGGUCCUCCCAAGUGGAGUCAGCAGAAGGCAAGUUGCUCCAUUUGAUGAGCACUUGAGAAAUGUGCUGGUAAUUCAUGAUUGAGGAUUUUUUCUAGUUCAACUAUAAAUUCUUCUUCCUUCAACUCUGGUAGGAUGAUGAGAGGCACAGUUCUGUCUCCAAUAUAUUUUUUGAGUAAUGAGACAUAAGGACAGGGUGUAUAAGACUACCCUUUGUUAGUUUCAGCUUGUAAGCCAUAGGUCCAAUUUUUUCUAACUUGGAAAGACCCAUAGUACUUUGCUGUUAGCUUGAUGGAUCGCCUAAGUGCGAUGCUUGAUUAUCAGUAAGGCUGUAGUUUUAGGUAUAUCCAAUCAGCCACUUGAAAUUCUCUUUCUGAUUUGUUUUUGUCUGCAAAUUGCUUCAUUUUUUUGCUGGCAAUUGCCAAUUGUUCCUUCAAAUGUACAAACAUUUGAGCUCUAUCCGUUAGAAACUCUUCAACAGCCAUCACUUAAGUGGAUUAAUUAGGCUGGAUUGGUAGAGGGGGAGGGUAAUCGUAUAGUGCCUAAAAUGGGAUCAUUUUUGGAGCACCAUGAAAGCUGGUGUUGUACCACCAUUCUGC